rnacentral:rRNA from 1 species
UACCAGCUCUUCGAGUGGUGUGGAUGUUUAUUGGGCCUAAAGCAUCCGUAGCUAGCUGGGCAAGUCCCCUGUUAAAUCCACCGAUUUAAUCGUUGGAGUGCGGGGGAUACUGUUCGGCUAGGGGACGGGAGAGGCAGACGGUAUUUUCGGGGUAGGGGUGAAAUCCUAUAAUCCCGGGAAGACCACCAGUGGCGAAGGCUGUCUGCUAGAACGCGCCCGACGGUGAGGGAUGAAAGCUGGGGGAGCGAACCGGAUUAGAUACCCGGGUAGUCCCAGCUGUAAACGAUGCAGGCUAGGUGUUUGGGCGGCCACGUGCCACUCUAGUGCCGCAGGGAAGCCGUUAAGCCUGCCGCCUGGGGAGUACGGCCGCAAGGCUGAAACUUAAAGGAAUUGGCGGGGGAGCACCACAAGGGGUGAAGCUUGCGGUUU